CGAACGGGUGAGUAAUAUAUCGGAACAUACCCUAGAGUGGGGGAUAACGUAGCGAAAGUUACGCUAAUACCGCAUACGAACUAAGGUUGAAAGUGGGGGAUCUUCGGACCUCAUGCUCAUGGAGUGGCCGAUAUCUGAUUAGCUAGUUGGUGAGGUAAAGGCUCACCAAGGCGGCGAUCAGUAGCUGGUUUGAGAGAACGACCAGCCACACUGGAACUGAGACACGGUCCAGACUCCUACGGGAGGCAGCAGUGGGGAAUUUUGGACAAUGGGCGCAAGCCUGAUCCAGCAAUGCCGCGUGAGUGAAGAAGGCCUUCGGGUUGUAAAGCUCUUUUGUCAGGGAAGAAACGGUGGUGGUUAAUACCUGCUGCUAAUGACGGUACCUGAAGAAUAAGCGCCGGCUAACUACGUGCCAGCAGCCGCGGUAAUACGUAGGGUGCAAGCGUUAAUCGGAAUUACUGGGCGUAAAGCGUGCGCAGGCGGUUAUAUAAGACAGUCGUGAAAUCCCCGGGCUCAACCUGGGAACUGCGAUUGUGACUGUAUGGCUAGAGUGUGUCAGAGGGGGGUAGAAUUCCACGUGUAGCAGUGAAAUGCGUAGAUAUGUGGAGGAAUACCGAUGGCGAAGGCAGCCCCCUGGGAUAACACUGACGCUCAUGCACGAAAGCGUGGGGAGCAAACAGGAUUAGAUACCCUGGUAGUCCACGCCCUAAACGAUGUCUACUAGUUGUCGGGACUUAAUUGUCUUGGUAACGCAGCUAACGCGUGAAGUAGACCGCCUGGGGAGUACGGUCGCAAGAUUAAAACUCAAAGGAAUUGACGGGACCCGCACAAGCGGUGGAUGAUGUGGAUUAAUUCGAUG
rnacentral:rRNA from 1 species